CAGCGAGGGAGAAGGGAAAGAUGCGGGAGGCAGAACUCCUCAGGGAGACGAUGUGCCUGGCGGCCCCGGCUCCCCACCUAGCGCAGGCGGCGGGAGGGACCGCGGGAGGAGGCUACUCAGCGCCCGCCGCGUGUUCCCUGAUUCGGGUCCUGCUGUGUAUUUAGCGCCCGGGGCAUCUGCGGGGACCCGUAAUUGCUCUGGAUUUGCCCGGGACUUUGCAAGCCUGAAUUCACUGUAUUGUUCGCCUGCCCCCAGUCCUUGGAACUUUGGUGUCUGCCUUAGCAGCUGCCAGGGCUAUUGGGUGAGAGAGAGAGACAUGGCCUUCUGUAGAACCUCUUUUCUCAGGGCAAUGGCCUUGGGAAGAGGGUUUCCUGAAGACCAGAGAACUGUGCACAGGCUGUGAGAAGAAGCCUGGACUUUCAGAGCCACAGCUCCCAAGCAGCCUUUCCUCGACCUUGUCAAAGCUGGGUCUCUUGGACCCAGAAGUGGAAAUGUCUGCUGUGCAUGAUACUUGAUCUUGAUGUGCUGUGUUUCCUGUAUUAUAGCAUGCAAACCAUUUUGCCUUGUUUUUAUAAACAUUAAAAUGCAAAGCAAGCCUUCUUAGAAUAAAAAUAUAUGAUCUAUAUUUCGAGUAAUAGAA
rnacentral:lncRNA from 1 species